GAUUACCCCGGAUGAAAAGACUCAGAGCUGUGGACUCGUAGCAGGAAGAGCCCUUAGAAACAGGGAACUGCUCUUUUUACAGUUAGGGAUACUGAAGACCAGAGAGGUGCUUGCUUGCCCAAAGUCGCGCAGCUUAGCUUGAAAGUAAAUUAUGGAAGAAUUCUGGUGGGCUUUGGGGUCAGACAGCGUUGAGUUCAAGUCCUGGAUCUAUCACUAUAUUCCUUGGUGUCAGCUUCAUUCCAAGAAUGAAUUCCAAGAGCAUUUGUGGCUCUUUCUGGGUCUCUGAAUCCCCAUCUCCAAAAUAAGGGGAUUGGAUUAGAUUGGAUUAGUCUGCUGCUCAUCUCCACGCCAAACUCCCUCCACCCUCACAAGCCUCAGCAGGUUAUCAAUUAUGAAUGGCCAGGCAAUCAGAGAUCAAAAGAGGCCUGUUUCCCCAAAUGAAUUAGUGGAUUUUAGAAUGGGAUGAAAUGAAAUGGAGCUAAUAGGCAGUUUUUGAAGAGAAGGCUGAGGGAUUUGGAGCUGGAGCUCCUGUUAGCAAUCUCCAUGCUAUCCAAGUGGCCCGGACUUGUGAUUUCCAGAAGAGUGUAAUGCUGGAAGAUUCUCCUGACACAUCCCAGAAGGAAGCAUUAUUCUCACAGUGUUAUCUUUGCUGCUCUCUGGGUUUGCUCAUCCAGGGAGAUUGUGGCAGCCAUUGUGAUUAUUCUGUUUGUCUGUCUGUCUCUCUCUCAUGCACACACCCCCGCCCCCUCACAUUAGCUUCAUUUCCUAGUGUAACUAGAAGCCCGCACAGGCUCAGCUACAGAGACAGAAAAUCCUGUGGAAGCACGUUGGGCUCAUUAAUAAGGGAAAGUGACUGGUGACUAUAACUUCUAUAGCUUUUAUGAAUUACUAGAAGUGAAUUUUUGGGAAAUUACUAAAUAAUACAUGUUCAACAUAGAAAAAUUAGAAAAGAUAGAUAAGCAAAAAAAAAAAAAAGGGAAUUCACUCCGUGUAUAAGGAAUUUUGUUUUUAUUAAAUACUAGUUUUUUAAAUUGAAAAAAUAAUC
rnacentral:lncRNA from 1 species